AUUUUUAAAAAAAUUAUUUAUCCAGGAUGGCAGCAGUGAAGAAAAAUCGAUAGUUUCAAAGCAUGCAUUUUAAAAAUUUUACACAGUGAAAGACAGUAGAUUAAAUAUUUUAAUCUCCUAUGUAUGUUUUAGAUUAGAUCUAAACUACUCACUAAAGAUUUAUGACAUGAAAUAUGCAUACAAAAAAUUUGAUAUAAAGAAAAAACUGUAUCGAUCACAUCGACGCCC
rnacentral:lncRNA from 1 species